UGGGGAAUAUUGCACAAUGGGCGCAAGCCUGAUGCAGCCAUGCCGCGUGUAUGAAGAAGGCCUUCGGGUUGUAAAGUACUUUCAGCGGGGAGGAAGGGAGUAAAGUUAAUACCUUUGCUCAUUGACGUUACCCGCAGAAGAAGCACCGGCUAACUCCGUGCCAGCAGCCGCGGUAAUACGGAGGGUGCAAGCGUUAAUCGGAAUUACUGGGCGUAAAGCGCACGCAGGCGGUUUGUUAAGUCAGAUGUGAAAUCCUCGGGCUCAACCUGGGAACUGCAUCUGAUACUGGCAAGCUUGAGUCUCGUAGAGGGGGGUAGAAUUCCAGGUGUAGCGGUGAAAUGCGUAGAGAUCUGGAGGAAUACCGGUGGCGAAGGCGGCCCCCUGAACGAAGACUGACGCUCAGGUGCGAAAGCGUGGGGAGCAAACAGG
rnacentral:rRNA from 1 species